CCACGCUGCCGGUUCACCGCCCGUCCGUGUCUAACUGGCAUGCACGUGUGGACGUCCUGCCGGUGGCCCGAGCCGGCGCGGGUCUUGUACCUGUCGUCCGGGGAAUGCCUAUCAUACCCGUCGCGGUGCUCUUAACCGAGUGUCUCGAUGGGCCGGCACGUUUACUUUGAACAAAUUAGAGUGCUUAAAGCAGGCAGCAUCCGCCUGAAUACCGAGUGCAUGGAAUAAUGGAAUAGGACCUCGGUUCUAUUUUGUUGGUUUUCGGAAUCCCCGAGGUAAUGAUCAAUAGGGACAGACGGGGGCAUUCGUAUUGCGACCUUGAAGGUGAAAUUCUUGGAUCGUCACAGGACGGACCGAAGCGAAAGCAUUUGCCAAGAAUGUUUUCUCUGAUCAAGAACGAAAGUUAGAGGUUCGAAGGCGAUCAGAUACCGCCCUAGUUCUAACCAUAAACAAUGCCAGCCAGCAAUCCGCCAAAGUUCCUCCGAUGACUCGGCGGGCGGCUUCCGGGAAACCAAACCUUUUGGGUUCCGGGGGAAGUAUGGUUGCAAAGCUGAAACUUAAAGGAAUUGACGGAAGGGCACCACCAGGAGUGGAGCCUGCGGCUUAAUUUGACUCAACACGGGAAACCUCACCAGGCCCGGACACCGGGAGGAUUGACAGAUUGAGAGCUCUUUCUUGAUUCGGUGGGUGGUGGUGCAUGGCCGUUCUUAGUUGGUGGAGCGAUUUGUCUGGUUAAUUCCGAUAACGAACGAGACUCUAGCCUGCUAACUAGUCGCUUCCGGUAUCCUUGUGCUACCGGCGACUCCUGAUCUUCUUAGAGGGACAGGCGGCUCCUAGCCGCACGAGAUUGAGCAAUAACAGGUCUGUGAUGCCCUUAGAUGUUCUGGGCCGCACGCGCGCUACACUGAAGGAAUCAGCGUGUCCUCCCUGGCCGAAAGGCCCGGGUAACCCGCUGAACCUCCUUCGUGCUAGGGAUUGGGGCUUGCAAUUGUUCCCCAUGAACGAGGAAUUCCCAGUAAGCGCGAGUCAUAAGCUCGCGUUGAUUACGUCCCUGCCCUUUGUACACACCGCCCGUCGCUACUACCGAUUGAAUGAUUUAGUGAGGUCUUCGGACCGGUGGGCGAGGGGGUUCUCCUCCUCGAUUCCACCGGGAAGAUGCCCAAACUUGAUCAUUUAGAGGAAGUAAAAGUCGUAACAAGGU
rnacentral:rRNA from 1 species